rnacentral:misc_RNA from 1 species
AGAAACAACAACCCUAGACUGCAACGGGUAUUCAACCUGAAUACCAUGACCCGAUUAGGGAAGGAACAACAACCCUCAAUAGAGAACUACUGCUAAACAAGCUACCCCACAGGAGACGACAUGCAGAACCAAGAAUGGCAAGAAACACAAAGGAUAUCCCAACUUUUGACACCAUGAAUGGUUUAGAUACCAACUGAAGAAAAAGGGAAACCUCUUCACUACUGUCAUCUCUGAAUCUACAUGGUCUCAGACGAUUGAUUUAAGCCUCAGGCCAAGGGAUACAGGAACCUUCAGAGCAUCAUAGAUUUAGCGGAGGAAGGAAGUGGCAUAGCUCAUUGGCGAAAGAAGAGAAGUAAAGAACAAAGAGACUACAUCUUUAUUAUUCUCAUUAUUCUAUGAAAUAAAAGUUUGCACAUUUAUAUAUAAUGAUCUCUUAUAACUACUCUAGUUAAUUAGGAAUAUAAAACCUGUUAUAAUUACUUUACUAAUUAGGAAUACAAAUCAUAUCUAUUUAGGAAGAUAAUCCUAUACUAAAUAGGAAUAUAACUAAAUACAAAUAUUGACUUUAUAUAACACUCUCCCUUAAAAUUUACACCAAUUCCAACAAAGUCCUUGUAGAAUUUUCUUUUUAUAGUCCUUAGCUAAUUUGUUCACAUGGAAAAAUUUGAGAUGGGAAUGUAAAUGUCAUCCAGUGGUGAUAAACAAUAGAGGACUUAAUUCAAUAAAAUUGAAAAGCUGGAAGACUUGAUUGCAGAAAUCAAAGGUUAAAAGCUCAAACAUUAUACAAGAAAACACUUCAAGUUUGAGGGAAAAUUUUGACAUUUUCUAUUUGACAACAGUGUCAUUGAUGACCAUGACUAAGACACACUUCAGACAGGAUACCUUCAUAAAUAGCAGUUAUUGAAAAUUUAAGAACUUCUAAUAGUAUUUUUCACUAUUGCAUUCUAUUUUGCAACAAAUGCUAAUUUUUGUACCAAUUGCCGAUCGAAAUUUCUUGCAUAGGUUGGUGUUUCACAGAAUCCUGUAUCAUCUAAUAGCAGAGAGUUUUGACCUGAAGCUGUGAAAUUGAACCUUCUACCAUCCCAGUUGUCUAUUGGGGUGCUGCAAGAAAUUGGACGGAGAUGUAACUCGAACGUACAGAUGGGUUCAGGCCUUGAUGAUGGCUUUCUUGGUUUAUUUUUUCUUGGGCUUACCAAAUUGCAUCCUAUGUGCAGGUGGAGUUCAGGUCUGUUGCAAGCACCGCUAAGGAUUUGCAAUUUUCUGUUGAGGUUUUGUUCACUGGUGAAAAGAUAGGUGUUGGAAUGGGUAAGACCAGGAAGGAUGCACAUCAGCAAGCUGCUGAGAAUGCCCUUCACAGCUUGGCAGAAAAAUAUGUUGCAUAUGUCGCACCUCAUUCUGGAGCUGUAGACCAUGAUUUCGAUAAGCUUUCCCUUGGGAAUGAGAAUGGAUUUCUAUGGGACAUUGUCAAUCCUGGAACAAGUGACGUCGUGCCAGAAGAUGGAUUGCCUAAAGAAUGUACUCCUGAGGUGGGAAUUUUUCAAUGAUGCUCUCAAUAGUUGAUUUGAUUUAUUUUUUCAAAAACAUAGGUGAUGCUUGGAUAAAGGGUAUGUGGGCAAGAAAUUUCCAGAUGAGAGGUAGUGGUUAUCUGGACAGAAACCACUCCUUUAAUGGAUUUUGGCAUUUUGCAAUGCACCAAGAUGCGGGAGCAAAAACAGUUAAGGGAGUGAGCUGGCUUCAUGUCUGCUAUUGAUGCCUUAUGCAGGCUCCAUUUAUUCCUGUUUAAAGGAUACUGAAGUUGAACCUGCAAUAACUUCGUCUAAUUUUGUCAAUCAGCAACAACAGAAGCGUGCCAACUCCCCUCGAUUGCUACAGUCUGUUCCGAGUAAAAGAACAAAGGAAGAAUUAGCGCGUGGUUCGCAAAGUCUUCCAUUUUCACGGCAGCAGAAGAAUGGAAAUCAUGUUUCAUGAAAGCAAUGAAAAAAGAAGUGGUGACUGACUGAAGGUUUUUUGAGUUCUACAAUUCUGCAAUAUUUUAUUUAUGCAGAUUCUACGUAAUUGCAGUUAGCUUAGGUCAAGUCAAAUAUAUCUUCCCUUCCUUUUUAAUUUUGUUUUUCCCAAAGGAUUUGCAUCUUCUUUUUUUUUCUUUUUCCAUAUGUAUUAUUAUUAUUAUUUCGCCCCAUCUUUUGGGUUGAUGUGGUGGAUGAUGAUGAGGGCGAAGGACGGUACUUAAAAAGUAUAUAUAAUUAUAAAUGGUUUAAUUCAGGCAGUGGUUUAUUCAAUCAAUUAUUUUCUGGAGUUUGCAAUUCUGAUUUAUGUCGAUGAAAGCAUUGCAUUUGAAAAUUGUAACUCGACGUAGCCAAUUUUUUGAAAAAUUGCUUUAUAAUUUGAAUAAAAUAUAAUUAUUUGGGAAGUCGGCAUUCAAGUUGAUUUGCCCUACAUGUAAUUUUUACUUUAUUUGUUUAUUUUUAUGCAGCUUCAACAUUUCGAAGGAAGUAACUGAGGGGAAUGCUGCCGUAUGCCUGCAACGAAGCAUGCCAAAAAAUAAAAAGAGAAAAUAUGACUGGCUGCCUAAAUUUCCAAUACAAAGGGCUUGCCAUCGAGCAACAUUUUUCCCCAUUAACAUCGUGGCAUGUGCUCUACCUCUACGCACUUUUAAUCAUCACCAGUAUGAUUGCUCCUCUACCAGACAUUUGAACGUGACAAUAUAUAUUCUCUGUAGUAUCUUGUCAUGCUAGAAAAUUCUUGUUUAUGAUAAUACAAUGUACCACCCACUACACUGAUAUGGGAUGGGCUCACAUACAAGACAAUCUGAAAUUUCUGCAUUCUUUAAUUUCAGUGCAGAAAGAUAGCCUACUGAGAUCAGAGAUAGUUUCCUGUUGAUUAUAUACAUUUUCUUGAUUCCAUCCGACCUCUGACCUCUCCCAUAACUUACAAAAAACCAAAGAAAAGUAGUGGUUAAAGAUAUGAGGGAGGUUUGAACUCAUAACUUCCUCCACCAUGGAGAGAUGUAGCCGUAGAUUUGCUACUGUCGAUUAGAAAGAAAAAUAAGCAUUUUGUGGUAAAUAUGCAGCUGCUUUUAAACCAAGAAAUGUUCUAGAUCUCACUCUAUGUCGUGCAAGAAAAUGCUCUCAACGUAUACAUAAACAUCAAACAACAUUAGGCGAUACAAAACAAUCCACACAUGAAUAACUAUAGCAAUAUCACAAAUGAGUUGCAAACUUCUGUACAAUGUGAUAGCUACCAAAUCAUCUCAAUAUCACUCCUGUUCGCCAAGCCACUUGAAAAUGGUAGGCGAUUAAGUAGCAAUAGCAUAGUCAUAAACACUUAUGCUACAGAAAUCCUAAAUUAAUUAGCAGCUUCUGUAUUGCUUUUCGACCCCAUAGAAUGUCACUUUGCCAAACACCAUUUUCGGUUGGUUCUGAUUCUUGCUGUUUUCCAUCAUCAGCUAGUGGAUUUUGCUCAAGUUCAUUGUGAAGCUGCCCCUGAUCACUGAACACCUCUACUUUUUCUGUUUGAUGAAGAUCAUCAUCAAUUUCAUGCUUCUGAAUAUUAUUAGGCCUCAGUUAAUAGAUAAGAAGGCUAACAAAAGUGAUUGAAAAUAGAGGAUGCUAUGAACUGUUAUCAGCAGCAAAUGCAGAACAGAAUUGCUAAAUGUGAAACUUUCGUCUCUCACAUUAUGUGUUUUUCUAACAGACGAUUCAUUUAGUGGCAAAAAUGUCAAAUCUAAUAGGUUCUAGUAGUAGUCUAUAAUUGUAUAAUGGGACAUGUAUAAUCCGAUCAUAGGCAAUGACAUAUAAUUGCAAGUGCACAAGUUCUUUGAUUACUGACCAUAAGAAAGGGGAAAUACAAGCCUAUGAUCUUCUAAAGUCACUAAGAGUGAUAUUUUUUAUUUAUUUCAUUUCAGAAAAUCUCAUGUUCUAUAAAGCAUUAAUUUCAAAAGGAUACAGGCUAAGCUGGAUUCUGUGGCCUGAAUCUCCCAGAACUGGAGAAAUUUUUGGGAUAGUGCAGACAAACACCAAGUAAAAGUAGUGAAAGAAAUUAAAGAGAAAAUGAAAAUAAACAAGAAACAGAGCAUCACUACUCAUCAAGCAGUUACCUCUGGCAAAUUGUGAUUCUUAACUUCAUCGUUAACUCCAACCGAGGCAUCAAAGGCACUGUUUGUUUCACCUUCAUUAACUCCAACUGAGGCAUCAAAGGCACUGCUUAUUUCAACUUCAUCAUGAGUUACUGGGUCACUUGAAAACACUGAUAAUGGAGUCAAUCCAGGUACCAGAACAGGAUCUCCUUCAUGAGAAACCGGAUUUCCUUCGACAUUAAUGGUUGCUAAAUUCAUGUCAGUUGGAGUUCUUCCACUAUUUCCGACAAUCUCCUCUGCUAUCAUUGCUUCCUUGUUUGAAUUGGCCUCAUUCUCAUCCUUCUCAUGAUUGAUUCCCUUUCCACUUGGCAUUUGGAGAAUUGCACUUACAUCAGGAUCUUCCUUUGUGUGCGUGAUAUUAUCUGCUACAAUAACCAGGGGCUCCUUUUCUGGAGGAGGAAUCUCGUCAGCAAUAAUUGGUUUAUCAGGAGUCGAUGGUAAUGAUUCCUUUGCUGGGUAAGAAUUAACAUCGGAGAUCAAUUCCUCAUUUUCGUGAGUCAAGUUCUCGGAAAAAACCACAAUUUCUGAGUUAGUAGACAAUUCGUCAGCAACAAUCAACAUUUCUGAAUUAACAGUAGGCUCCCCUUUUUUAUUAGCCAUCGAUUCUUCCUCUGUUAAUUGCUGAAGCGUAGCAUCUUCCCAAUCUUCGGAAACAACAAUUGUAUUCUUAGUUUCCCAGGUUUUGAAAAUUCGAUCAGGUCCUGGUUGCCACAAAAUCUUCCCAUUGAUUUCUUUUAGUAUAAACUUGAACUGGAUGGAUUUUCCAAUGGGUAUAUCCAGCUCAAGAGUCCAAACAUGCCCGUCUGACCAGUUCAAUGGUAUGGCAUUUUCAGGAUCCCACAUGCCGAACAUUUGAUCAUCCCCUACUAGAGCAAAUUGCUCACCAAAGGAACACUUUUUCUUUAGGUGGAAUUUAACAUGAACGGUCUUUGAUUGGU